rnacentral:rRNA from 1 species
GCCAUGCAUGUCUAGGUAUAAAUAGUAUACAGUGAAACUGCGAAUGGCUCAUUAAAACAGUUAUAGUUUAUUUGAUAAUCGAAAGCUACAUGGAUAACCGUGGUAAUUCUAGAGCUAAUACAUGCAGUCAAACCCGACCUUCGGAAGGGUUGUAUUUAUUAGAUAUCAAGCCAAUACUCCUUCGGGUUUAUUGUGGUGAAUCAUAGUAACUGAUCGAAUCCCUCAGGGAUAAAUCAUUCAAGUUUCUGCCCUAUCAGCUUUCGAUGGUAGUGUAUUGGACUACCAUGGCAGUCACGGGUAACGGGGAAUUAGGGUUCGAUUCCGGAGAGGGAGCCUGAGAAACGGCUACCACUUCUAAGGAAGGCAGCAGGCGCGUAAAUUACCCAAUCCCAAUUCGGGGAGGUAGUGACAAGAAAUAACAACCUGGGGGGCUCUGCCCUUACGGGAUUGUAAUGGGAACAAUGUAAAAACUUUAUCGAGGAACAAUUGGAGG